rnacentral:rRNA from 1 species
UAGUCAUAUGCUUGUCUUAAAGACUAAGCCAUGCAUGUCUAAGUAUAAGUAUUAUACAGCGAAACUGCGAAUGGCUCAUUAAAACAGUUAUAGUUUAUUCGAUUAUUUUCUUCUACAUGGAUAACCGUAGUAAUUCUAGAGCUAAUACAUGCUGUCAAACCUGACUUUUUGGAAAGGUUGUAUUUAUUAGAUAUUAAACCAAUACCUUCGGGUUUUGUGAUGAUUCAUAAUAACUGAGCGGAUCGCGGCCUUGCCGCGACGAAUCGUUCAAGUUU